CGCGUUUUCAACAUUUCCCCCCAAAAUUUUCCCCCUUGCUCUUUCCCUCAAACAUCUCCUUCCCCCAUAUCCGGCCGAUCUCCUCCUUCUCCGGCGCUCCGACCGCAAAUUUGCCCAUCUCCACCGCCGACCGAUAUCCCCCCAUUUUCCGACAGAUCUCCUCCCUUUUCCGGCGCCGACCGCAAAUCUGCCCAUCUUCACCAUAGGACUGAGCUCCCCCCAUUUUCCGGCAGAUCUCCUCCCUCUUCCGGCGCCGACCCAUGAUUUCUGCCAGUCUCCACCGCUGACCGAGCUCUCCACUUCCUUCGCCGACUGAGCUCUCAAUUUUCGGCGCCGACCGAUCUCAGCCCGUCUCCAAGAUAUGCAGAAAAUUGACAAAAUGUAUGCUGCUUUUACUGGCCAACCUCUAGAGAAAAUGCAACAAUACACUGAAAGGGAUCGUUUCCUGUCUGUUUUUGAGGCUAUGGAGUUUGGACUUAUCGGUGGCAUGUUAGAAAUAGAAUAUUGAAUUCAUGAUUCUCUACCAAACCAUCUUAUGCCUUCAUAACAUCAUACUGCAAUUUGCUAUCAAACUGACAGACCCGGGUUGCCUUCAAUGAUAAUUUGCCCAUGAUAUAUGUCAAGGGUGCUUGUACCAGAGAUUGCCCACAUGUAUAAGACUGACCAGGCCAAGUAAGAAGCCACUGCAUGCAGCUGGACCCAGAAGUAUGCUAUGGGAUGAUCGUUGUUAAGACGGCAGAUUUGGAUUUUGCAUUACGAAGGAAUGUGUAAUCAUGCCUUUGUUUUCUCUUCCUGUUGCUAGUUGUUUAUUUUAGGGGUGUUGGGAGAAGAUUGAGGUGGGGCUAGCAUUUUGGUCAGAACAAUUCUCUGCUGUCAAUUUGUAUAACCGAAGGUGGGAACAGUUUAUGCACACUUGUUUGAAGCUGUUAUCUCUGGCAAUGUAGAAAUAUUCACUAGUGUAUUGCAAACU